AGAGUUUGAUCCUGGCUCAGGAUGAACGCUGGCGGCGUGCUUAACACAUGCAAGUCGAACGAACCUUCGGGUUAGUGGCGGACGGGUGAGUAACGCGUGAGAAUCUGCCCUCAGGAGGGGGAUAACGGUUGGAAACGACCGCUAAUACCCCAUAUGCCGAUAGGUGAAAUGAAUUUCGCCUGAGGAUGAGCUCGCGUCUGAUUAGCUUGUUGGUGAGGUAAUGGCUCACCAAGGCUUCGAUCAGUAGCUGGUCUGAGAGGAUGAUCAGCCACACUGGGACUGAGACACGGCCCAGACUCCUACGGGAGGCAGCAGUGGGGAAUUUUCCGCAAUGGGCGAAAGCCUGACGGAGCAACGCCGCGUGAGGGACGAAGGCCUCUGGGCUGUAAACCUCUUUUCUCAAGGAAGAAGAUAUGACGGUACUUGAGGAAUAAGCCACGGCUAAUUCCGUGCCAGCAGCCGCGGUAAUACGGGAGUGGCAAGCGUUAUCCGGAAUUAUUGGGCGUAAAGCGUCCGCAGGCGGCCUUUCAAGUCUGCUGUUAAAGCGUGGAGCUUAACUCCAUUAUGGCAGUGGAAACUGAUCGGCUUGAGUAUGGUAGGGGCAGAGGGAAUUCCCGGUGUAGCGGUGAAAUGCGUAGAUAUCGGGAAGAACACCAGUGGCGAAGGCGCUCUGCUGGGCCAUUACUGACGCUCAUGGACGAAAGCCAGGGGAGCGAAAGGGAUUAGAUACCCCUGUAGUCCUGGCCGUAAACGAUGAACACUAGGUGUCGGGGGAAUCGACCCCUUCGGUGUCGUAGCUAACGCGUUAAGUGUUCCGCCUGGGGAGUACGCACGCAAGUGUGAAACUCAAAGGAAUUGACGGGGGCCCGCACAAGCGGUGGAGUAUGUGGUUUAAUUCGAUGCAACGCGAAGAACCUUACCAGGGUUUGACAUCCUGAGAACCUCUUAGAAAUUUGAGGGUGCCUUCGGGAAUUCAGUGACAGGUGGUGCAUGGCUGUCGUCAGCUCGUGUCGUGAGAUGUUGGGUUAAGUCCCGCAACGAGCGCAACCCACGUUUUUAGUUGCCAGCAUUUAGUUGGGCACUCUAGAAAGACCGCCGGUGAUAAACCGGAGGAAGGUGUGGAUGACGUCAAGUCAUCAUGCCCCUUACACCCUGGGCUACACACGUACUACAAUGCUACGGACAAAGGGCAGCAAACUCGCGAGAGAUAGCAAAUCCCAUAAACCGUGGCUCAGUUCAGAUCGUAGGCUGCAACUCGCCUACGUGAAGUAGGAAUCGCUAGUAAUCGCAGGUCAGCAUACUGCGGUGAAUACGUUCCCGGGCCUUGUACACACCGCCCGUCACACCAUGGAAGUUGGCCAUGCCCGAAGUCGUUACUCCAACCCUUGUGGAGGAGGACGCCGAAGGUGGGGCUAAUGACUGGGGUGAAGUCGUAACAAGGUAGCCGUACCGGAAGGUGCGGCUG
rnacentral:rRNA from 1 species